GUGCCGUUGAUGAAGUGGUUUAACAACAAUGUCUGCAAAACAUUGAUUCACAGGUUCAAAUCCUGUACGGCACUCCA
rnacentral:tRNA from 1 species